rnacentral:rRNA from 1 species
AGUGAACGCUGGCGGUAGGCCUAACACAUGCAAGUCGAACGGCAGCACAGUAAGAGCUUGCUCUUACGGGUGGCGAGUGGCGGACGGGUGAGGAAUACGUCGGAAUCUACUUUUUCGUGGGGGAUAACGUAGGGAAACUUACGCUAAUACCGCAUACGACCUACGGUUGAAAGCAGGGGAUCUUCGGACCUUGCGCGAUUGAAUGAGCCGAUGUCGGAUUAGCUAGUUGGCGGGGUAAAGGCCCACCAAGGCGACGAUCCGUAGCUGGUCUGAGAGGAUGAUCAGCCACACUGGAACUGGGACACGGUCCAGACUCCUACGGGAGGCAGCAGUGGGGAAUAUUGGACAGUGGGCGCAAGCCUGAUACAGCCAUACCGCGUGGGUGAAGAAGGCCUUCGGGUUGUAAAGCCCUUUUGUUGGGAAAGAAAAGCAGCAGGUUAAUACCCCGCUGUUCUGACGGUACCCAAAGAAUAAGCACCGGUUAACUUCGUG